rnacentral:rRNA from 1 species
UACGUAGGGUGCGAGCGUUAAUCGGAAUUACUGGGCGUAAAGCGUGCGCAGGCGGUUAGCCGUGUCCGAUGUGAAAGCCCCGGGCUCAACCUGGGAAUGGCAUUGGAAACUGGCUGGCUGGAGUGUGGCAGAGGGGGGUGGAAUUCCACGUGUAGCAGUGAAAUGCGUAGAGAUGUGGAGGAACACCGAUGGCGAAGGCAGCCCCCUGGGCCAACACUGACGCUCAGGCACGGAAAGCGUGGGGAGCAAACAGG